rnacentral:misc_RNA from 1 species
UACGGAGGGUGCAAGCGUUAAUCGGAAUUACUGGGCGUAAAGCGCUCGUCGGUGGCUUGAUAAGCCGGUUGUGAAAGCCCCGGGCUCAACCUGGGGACGGCAUCCGGAACGGUCACGCUAGAGUGCAGGAGAGGAAGGUAGAAUUCCCGGUGUAGCGGUGAAAUGCGUAGAGAUCGGGAGGAAUACCAGUGGCGAAGGCGGCCGUCUGGACUGAUACUGACGCUGAGGUGCGAAAGCGUGGGUAGCAAACAGG